rnacentral:rRNA from 1 species
UUGCAGUUAAAAAGCUCGUAGUCGGAUUUUGGCAUGCACGCCGAACUGUCAGCCGAUUGGUUUGUACGGUUUGGCGGGUGCUCUCCUUCCGGAAGCUCGUUCCCUUCUUAGUUGACGGGUUCGAUGGUUCCGGGUCUUUUACUUUGAAAAAAUUAGAGUGUUCAAAGCAGGCCUAUGCUCUGAAUAGGUUAGCAUGGAAUAAUAGAAUAGGACUUUGGUUCUAUUUUGUUGGUUUCUAGGACCGAAGUAAUGAUUAAUAGGGACAGUUGGGGGCAUUCAUAUUCCAAUGUCAGAGGUGAAAUUCUUGGAUUAUCGGAAGAUGAACUUCUGCGAAAGCAUCUGCCAAGGAUGUUUUCAUUGAUCAAGAACGAAAGUUAGGGGAUCGAAGACGAUCAGAUACCGUCGUAGUCUUAACCAUAAACUAUGCCGACUAGGGAUGUGAAGGCGUUAUUUUAUACGACCCUUCAUGCACCUUAUGAGAAAUCAAAGUCUAUGGGU